rnacentral:rRNA from 1 species
UACAGAGGGUGCGAGCGUUAAUCGGAAUUACUGGGCGUAAAGGGCGCGUAGGCGGUUAUAUGUGUGGGAUGUGAAAGCCCUGGGCUUAACCUAGGAAGUGUAUACCAAACUGUAUAACUGGAGUAUAUGAGAGGGUAGCGGAAUUUCCGGUGUAGCGGUGAAAUGCGUAGAGAUCGGAAGGAACGCCAAUGGCGAAGGCAGCUACCUGGCAUAAUACUGACGCUGAGGCGCGAAAGCGUGGGGAGCAAACAGG